CUGCCUUCUGCCUCCUUUGCCAGCCUGUUUACCAUGAUUCGUCUCCUAUGCGGUGCUCCCCGCUGUAGCGCCCUCAACAUCGCUGAUCUUCAUUUUCUUCCUCUAUUAAUUUAGGCAUCCUUGGCUGUCUCCUCCCACUGGGAUUGUAAGCUGUUUGAGAGCAAGGACUGUGUCUUCCUCAUUCCUGAAUCCCCAGCAUCAAACCCGAGGACUUCCUCAUUGUGAACGUCCAACAACUAUUUCCAGAGGGCACAGCAGAAUGGAAGGGAGCUGUCCUGACCGUGGACUUCGGGCAAGUCAGCCUCCCUCUCGGAUCCUACGUUUCCUCAUUUGUAAGGGAAACUGAAGGCCCUGGUCCCCCAGAGGGAGGUCACCGCUGCCUGACUCCGGCCCCACGAGCCUGCUGUGCACCGGCGCGGUACGGCCUCGCGCGAGCAUGAUUCCCUUUCCUGGCUCCAUCUCCCAGAGAGCCUGCUGUGAUCAUCUCUGAUCUGUAGAUGAGGAAACUGAGGGCCCAGCAUCUCCCGCUCCCUCCUCACCUCAGGAUGUCUCCCGCUCUCCUGCAACAACCCACACGACAUCCUGUAAAUAACUGCAUGUUCCCGACACCUCUCCUCCUUCUCCUUGGAAACCUGCUCUCUCUUUGGACUCCGGUUGUUAGAUUCCCAGCGUGGCUCACUGCUGAGCGUGGAGGGAGCUACAGUGUUGCCUCUGAAAGCCUGGGACGGGCCCUGGCUCCUUCCUUCACCGGCUGGGUGACCUUGGGCAGGUUGCUCCACCUCUCUGAGCCUCAGUUUCCCCACCUGAAGCUGGGGCAGGGAUGGUGACUAAUGUCGUGAUGGAGAUUAAAUGAGGACCUGUAAACAAGGGCCCAUCUGAGUGUGGGACACGCUCAGGGUGCUUCAUGAA